rnacentral:rRNA from 1 species
AACGAACGCUGGCGGCAGGCCUAACACAUGCAAGUCGAGCGCCCGGAUUUAUCCGGGAGCGGCGCACGGGUGAGUAACGCGUGGGAACAUGCCCUGAAGUACGGAACAACCUGGGGAAACCUUGGCUAAUACCGUAUACGCCCUGAGGGGGAAAGAUUUAUCGCUUUGGGAUUGGCUCGCGUUGGAUUAGCUGGUUGGUGUGGUAACGGCGCACCAAGGCGACGCUCCAUAACUGGUCGGAGAGGAUGACCAGUCACACUGGGACUGAGACACGGCCCAGACUCCUACGGGAGGCAGCAGUGGGGAAUAUUGGACAAUGGGCGAAAGCCUGAUCCAGCCAUGCCGCGUGAGUGAAGAAGGCCUUCGGGUUGUAAAGCUCUUUCAGCGGGGACGAUGAUGACGGUACCCGCAGAAGAAGCCCCGGCUAACUUCGUGCCAGCCGCCGCGGUAA